AUUGAACGCUGGCGGCAGGCUUAACACAUGCAAGUCGAGCGGAGACUUCGGUCUUAGCGGCGAACGGGUGAGGAAUGCCUGGGAAUCUGCCUGUUAGUGGGGGAUAACGAAUCGAAAGGUUCGCUAAUACCGCAUACGUCCUACGGGAGAAAGCAGGGGACCUUCGGGCCUUGCGCUAACAGAUGAGCCCAGGUCGGAUUAGCUAGUAGGUGGGGUAAAGGCUCACCUAGGCGACGAUCCGUAGCUGGUCUGAGAGGAUGAUCAGCCACACUGGAACUGAGACACGGUCCAGACUCCUACGGGAGGCAGCAGUGGGGAAUAUUGGACAAUGGGCGAAAGCCUGAUCCAGCCAUGCCGCGUGUGUGAAGAAGGCCUUCGGUUGGCAAAGCACUUUAAGCGGGGAGGAAGGCCUUGGGAUUAAUACUCCUGAGGAUUGACGUUACCCGCAGAAUAAGCACCGGCUAACUCUGUGCCAGCAGCCGUCGGUAAAGUACUGU
rnacentral:rRNA from 1 species